AUUUGUCCAAUAGAUCUUAAAUAUUCUCUUGUACAGCAGACAUAAGACAUAACAGAGUAUUACGAUUUUGAGAUGCAGCAGAGAAUGAUUGAUCUCUCUGCGACUUCUAUUCAUUCUUUCUAUUAUUCAUUGAUUUGUUCAUUGUUCUCUCAAGCUUGCUCAAUCCUGUUCAAUAUCUCAUGUAUUGUUCAUCGAAGAGCUUACAAUGAUUUUUCCAAAGAUGAAAAUCCAGCUAUGCAAGUUACAGCAUCUGCUUGGAACUGUAUGCUUCUGUCAGAAUGAUGCAUUAUUCUUGGGGAUAAAACCUGGCAUUCUCGUCGACAUUUAUUAUGCUUUGGUAGCUUCAAACCCAAAUUUCCUACUUUUUGGCCUGAGAGAGGACAAGAAAGAAGAUGAGCCAUCAAUUUUUUUUGUGAUUUUGAAGUGUUCCUGCAGAUAUCAUUAUUAGUAUUACCUUGGAUUCUGGAUUCUGGGCUCAUAAUGAUCAGAGAUUCCAUGAGUAAUUCUUUGGGUUUCUAUCAUUGAUCUGGGUUGGAUAUUUUUUUUACAUGAUAUAUAGAGAAAGCUUACAAGUCAUGUUGUUUUGAUGCCAUCAAACUAUGUGUAGAAAAUGCUGCUGAAUAUGUAAUAUUCUUAGGAGAAGCAAAUUGAUGUAUCAUGCCUCGAGGCCAAGGAUUCUCCAACUUUCCUCCGGUCAAAUUGGUGUCAAAACUUCUGUCAGAAGAAUGGUCUAUAGAUGCUAUGUCCAGCAAUGAAGGCAUGUUUGAUAUCUGUGACAAAUAUUGAAAUUAUUGUAAGAGGAGGGGCUAAAGAAGGCAAAAGAAUUGCAGCCACGGUGAGAGAUUGGUGCUUUUCCUCUCACAGUUGGACUCCAUAAUCAGACCUUUCUAUACA